rnacentral:lncRNA from 1 species
GGCCAUCAAGAUGGCUCACUCUCGUGGCUGACAGUCGAUUCUGGCUACUGGGCGAGAGCUCAGCUGUGGCUGUCAGGGCUCACACAUGGCUUCCCCAUGUGACUGGCAACCUGGGACCCAAGCGUGGGAGUUGGGUUCCAAGGGCGAGUGUCCGCAAAGCAAACUUUCCAAGAGACCCACUCGUUGAAGCUCCAAGGCUUCUUACAAUCUACGGGAAUGACUACUGGGAGAUUUUAAAAGAUGAGGAAACCAAGUCACGGACAGGUGAAGUAACUUGGCCCGGCCCUUUAACUCCAAGUCCAGGACUCCUUGCCUUCAUGGUUUGUAAAUCAGGAGCUGGAGUGCUGCCGUCUGUUGAAGCCCUGCUCGCCGUUCCCAGCAUGAGGCUGGGUCCCCAGAAGAGGCUGAACCUAUGCUUGCUAAUGAAACAAAGGUCUUUUCUUUGAGAACUCACCAAAAGAAAGGGUUGCUUGGGUCUAUCUCUCUGGUGUACUUCACAGGACUUGAGAAAUGCAAACACAUUUUCAUUUACUAAGUAUGCAGGACAGGCAGACUCCCCCUGAACAGCCAUCUUUGAGAAGAGAGGUGUAAACCGGAGCACCCUGGAGCAGCUCCCUGCACCCUCCUUUGCUGCAGACACGGGUUGGCAUCCACGCUUGGCAGGGACACAGUGUAUCUACGACUGUGUGGUCACAGAGGAGGAUCUUGAGAGCUGAGCGAGCCCAGAUGCAUCUCUUCCACCAUCAAAAUGUAGAUCACCCCCAACCCAUCCUGUCUGACCAUGUCGCUGCUCAUCCCAAAACACCAACUAAACACCCCUGAACACACCCUUCUGCUGAGAGACUGGUGAGAACGAAGGGACAUGACCUACAGUGUGUUUAUUCUGAGGUAUUUCCUCUCCCAGGGCAUUGUGGGAGUUUGCCUGGCCUCCUUUCAAGGUCACCCCGCCCUGCCCAGGUGUCAGAGGACGUGCUGGAGGCUCCAAGGUUCCUCUCUCAUUCUCUCUGUAACAACUGCUGUUCUGCCCAGCGUGUUGUAGUUUACAAAGCCCUUUCACAUGUUCCCUCACGUGACACUCCCCGGAGACCUUGUGAGUUGGGUAUUAUUCUUAUUUUAAAGGAAAGGAAAAGCUGAUGGAAAGCGGAAGGGUAACCGGCUCAAAGAAAUGCAGUUAGUAAAAAUCAAAACUAGAACCUGAAUAACUGUCUUUGGACCCCAAACGCCAGCCCCUCCUGCUCUCCUGCAGCCCCCAGUGUCCUGAGGUUCCUCUGGGGCGUUCCCUGUAUUUGAGGACCCGCCAUGGCCCCUGCGGAACCACUCUGAGCUACUCAGCCAUCCCCCUCCGCCCACCCUGGUGUCUGCCAGUCUCCUCUGCAGAGCCAGCCGGGGAAGAGGAACCACCUCAGCCAGGCCACUCAGCUCCCAGGUUUUAGGCCCAGUAUGUGGCAUAGCACAAGUUGUCACCAUGAAGCUUAAUUUUUUUCUUCCCAAUCCUAAGUCUUUCAAAAACAGUCUCAGCUAAAU